UUUUCCGGUUGAUCCUGCCGGACCUGACUGCUAUCGGAUUGAUACUAAGCCAUGCGAGUCAUUGUAGCAAUACAAGGCAGACGGCUCAGUAACGCGUAGUCAACCUAACCUAUGGACGGGAAUAACCUCGGGAAACUGAGAAUAAUGCCCGAUAGAACACUAUAUCUGGAAUGGUUUGUGUUCCAAAUGAUUUAUCGCCGUAGGAUGGGACUGCGGCCUAUCAGUUUGUUGGUGAGGUAAUGGCCCACCAAGACUAUUACAGGUACGGGCUCUGAGAGGAGUAGCCCGGAGAUGGGUACUGAGACACGGACCCAGGCCCUAUGGGGCGCAGCAGGCGAGAAAACUUUGCAAUGUGCGAAAGCACGACAAGGUUAAUCCGAGUGGUUUCUGCUAAAGGAACCUUUUGUCGGUCCUAGAAACACCGAUGAAUAAGGGGUGGGCAAGUUCUGGUGUCAGCCGCCGCGGUAAAACCAGCACCUCAAGUGGUCAGGAUGAUUAUUGGGCCUAAAGCAUCCGUAGCCUGCUUUGUUAGUUUUCGGUUAAAUCUAUACGCUCAACGUAUAGGCUGCCGGGAAUACUGCAAAGCUAGGGAGUGGGAGAGGUAGACGGUACUCGGUAGGAAGGGGUAAAAUCCUUUGAUCUAUUGAUGACCACCUGUGGCGAAGGCGGUCUACCAGAACACGUCCGACGGUGAGGGAUGAAAGCUGGGGGAGCAAACCGGAUUAGAUACCCGGGUAGUCCCAGCCGUAAACCAUGCAAACUCAGUGAUGCAUUGGCUUGUGGCCAAUGCAGUGCUGCAGGGAAGCCGUUAAGUUUGCCGCCUGGGAAGUACGUACGCAAGUAUGAAACUUAAAGGAAUUGGCGGGGGAGCACCACAAGGGGUGAAGCCUGCGGUUCAAUUGGAUUCAACGCCUGAA
rnacentral:rRNA from 1 species